UGCCAGUGAUAAACUGGAGGAAGGUGGGGAUGACGUCAAGUCAUCAUGGCCCUUACGACCAGGGCUACACACGUGCUACAAUGGCAUAUACAAAGAGAAGCGACCUCGCGAGAGCAAGCGGACCUCAUAAAGUAUGUCGUAGUCCGGAUUGGAGUCUGCAACUCGACUCCAUGAAGUCGGAAUCGCUAGUAAUCGUGGAUCAGAAUGCCACGGUGAAUACGUUCCCGGGCCUUGUACACACCGCCCGUCACACCAUGGGAGUGGGUUGCAAAAGAAGUAGGUAGCUUAACCUUCGGGAGGGCGCUUACCACUUUGUGAUUCAUGACUGGGGUGAAGUCGUAACAAGGUAACCGUAGGGGAACCUGCGGUUGGAUCACCUCCUUACCUUAAAGAA
rnacentral:rRNA from 1 species